rnacentral:rRNA from 1 species
GAUGAACGCUGGCGGCGUGCUUAACACAUGCAAGUCGAGCGAAGCACUUUUGCGGAUUUCUUCGGAUUGAAGCAAUUGUGACUGAGCGGCGGACGGGUGAGUAACGCGUGGGUAACCUGCCUCAUACAGGGGGAUAACAGUUGGAAACGGCUGCUAAUACCGCAUAAGCGCACAGUACCGCAUGGUACCGUGUGAAAAACUCCGGUGGUAUGAGAUGGACCCGCGUCUGAUUAGCUAGUUGGUGGGGUAACGGCCUACCAAGGCGACGAUCAGUAGCCGACCUGAGAGGGUGACCGGCCACAUUGGGACUGAGACACGGCCCAAACUCCUACGGGAGGCAGCAGUGGGGAAUAUUGCACAAUGGGGGAAACCCUGAUGCAGCGACGCCGCGUGAGCGAUGAAGUAUUUCGGUAUGUAAAGCUCUAUCAGCAGGGAAGAAAAUGACGGUACCUGACUAAGAAGCCCCGGC